UUUAUGCAGUUUAAGGUAAGUAUUAUUUUAUUAUUUUAAUCUAUUUAUAGGUAUUUUAUAACUAAUUAAUUAUUUCUUUCUUCUAGGUCUAAUGGAUUAUUGAUUAAAGGACAUCCAAAGUAUUGGUUCCUAUCAGCAAGGUGGGUCGUGCUGCUUCACUGAUGUCUGCAACAACUAAUGCUAAGACAGCACUGCAAUGGGUUUCUGUGGCUCUGGAACCAUCAUGUUGGCAACUUGACUCUGCAGAUGGAACAAUAGCUCAGAAAAUGAGGGUGGGUUAUUCUUCUUCUGCUCCAGCUGGAGGUCAGCAAGUAACCCAUUAUCCCAACAUCCACGACAAAACUGGCGUAACAGGUGCCUGUUCUCCUCACUGGUGGGUAGACUGCCUUGUUUGAUCACUUUACUUAAAACAAUGUAGAGCCUUUGGAGGUAUUCGGACGGCUUUUCACCAGCAUCCUGUAGAGUAUUCAGAAAUCUUGCGAAGAGCUCAUCACCGUCUUCAACAGUGGCGAAAGCUGAGUCAAGUAGGUCUAGAUAAGCUCUUGGAGUAGCCUGUGGACUCAGAUGCUUUACUAGAUUAGCUGCUGGAGGCAAAAGACUAUCAAGAACUCUUCUGGAUCGACACAAGUCUGACACUGCAGGGUCUUGCAACAGUAGUUCAACGUUGUUUCUCCAUGUCUCAUAGUCAACCUCAUUAUUAGGAUGGGGUUUCUUCCCUGAAAAGACUCUAAGCCUUACUGGGGCAUUUGCAUGUGCUGCAGUUUCUCCACUCCUUACAACAUGUUCAACAACAACGCGUUGAAUAGCAGGAGGGUUCAAUUCCUCUGGUG